rnacentral:rRNA from 1 species
GAUGAACGCUGGCGGCGUGCCUAAUACAUGCAAGUCGAGCGAACAGAUGAGGAGCUUGCUCCUCUGACGUUAGCGGCGGACGGGUGAGUAACACGUGGAUAACCUACCUAUAAGACUGGGAUAACUUCGGGAAACCGGAGCUAAUACCGGAUAAUAUAUUGAACCGCAUGGUUCAAUAGUGAAAGACGGUUUUGCUGUCACUUAUAGAUGGAUCCGCGCCGCAUUAGCUAGUUGGUAAGAUAACGGCUUACCAAGGCAACGAUGCGUAGCCGACCUGAGAGGGUGAUCGGCCACACUGGAACUGAGACACGGUCCAGACUCCUACGGGAGGCAGCAGUAGGGAAUCUUCCGCAAUGGGCGAAAGCUUGACGGAGCAACGCCGCGUGAGUGAUGAAGGUCUUCGGAUCGUAAAACUCUGUUAUUAGGGAAGAACAAAUGUGUAAGUAACUAUGCACGUCUUGACGGUACCUAAUCAGAAAGCCACGGCUAACUACG